UUGAGAAAUAACGAGCUUUGGUUAAAUAUAAAACAGGCUGAGCUCCACUCAGCUCACCUUAGGGGAGACACCAAGUGAAGAUUGUAGAGCGAGUUCUGCUUUAUUUUCUCCUCAUUCUGCUUCCUCUCCAAUGUGUUUCCUGCCUUCAUCAGUUUUUCUUGUGACUGUCGUCAGUCUUAAAUGUUGUGGUUAUGUCAGCCUGUAGUCGUGUACGAGAGCAGAUAAAACAGAGAAAAGACAAAGUCCCUUUGUCCAUAACAGAGUGUUCCUUAUGAAUUUAUUGUAACAUUUCUUGUUUAUAAAAUCACAAGAUUCAUAGUUUCUUUUACAAAGGACAUUUUAGUUACAUUAGUCUUUUUGUUUUUCAUAGUGUGGCAACAGGGCUUUUUUCUAUUUUUUUGUAUUUGUUUUCCUUACUUUGAACUUUGUUAGCACAUUAGCUCCACUUGACACCAAACUAAGUUUUAGCCACAUAAAACAGAUGUUUUUAUUUUCCGAUAAGCAGAUGAAUAUAUAAUCAUGUCUCUAAUUAGUCAAAUCACAAACUGUUACUCGCUGG